rnacentral:lncRNA from 1 species
GGGUCCUUCACUUUACUAAGGAGUCUGAUGAGGAUUGGCAGGAAGCUCUUCAAAUGGCAAGGACUCCUCUUUGCCCUGAAAGCACUUAGAGGUACUUUGAAAGGUCUGUAUUCCACCACAGGUGUAGUCCACUAAAGCAGGACAGAUUCCACACCAUGUGUGCAUGCUCUGCUCCUCUGGGUCUGUUUGCUGCCUCUCCGACUGCUCUGGGUCUGUUUGCUGCCUCUCCGACUGCUCUGCUAUCUUCAAUAAGAUUUUAAAACUAUAUGGAAGAUUGAGCUGUGACACCAAUGAUCUCAGUGAGCAUGACUGCCGUGAUGGUGGUCCUAUGGGGAACAUUUGCCAACAACUGAGUGACUCAGGUCUGGCUGCAGAGCCAACGUCCUCCAAUAGGCAUGUGAGCUGGAUGCCAGAGGAGACUUCGCUCAGGGACAUCGCACAUUUCUCAUGGAAUGGAGAGCUGAUUCCAACCAGCCACCUCAGCCCUGCUAACUGUUGACUUCUGACUUUCUCUAAAUGAGAAACAUGAAGGCGUGCUUGUAUGUUUUAGACAGGAGGGACAGUUGUGAGCAUUUUUUCAGUGGCUAACUUGCAAUUCAGUCCUUCCUUUGCUUUGGGUGGCUUCAUAUCGAAUGAUGGUUUGAAUGUGCGGGAGCCUUACCUAGGUUAGCGUGCAAUUAUUCACACAUUAUGAAAAAGAUCAAUGUGAAGGAAAUGAAGGGACACAGUGUGGUCAUUAUACCUUUCAUAAUAAACACUGUGCGGCCAGUGUC